rnacentral:misc_RNA from 1 species
CCCUGUACUGCAUCGUGGUCUGGCAGAUUCAAUAGCCAAAUAUAUCUGUGAUAUUCUAUCAAUGAAGUUCUUCAGUUCCGAGCACAUCAAAGUAUGAACCUNNNNNGUACAGUAAUAAGGACGUUCCGAGUGAUGAGCACCCUCAUUUCCCAUCCUGCUAGUCCUCAAUUUGAGCUACCGUCUGUUUCUGAAGAUGCCAAGUUGAUUUGAGAAUGUUAAUUAUGCACGAAAAUUCAGAGUAAGAGCCAAGCCCAAGACUUAGUCCCAGUUGCUCAAGUGUCAGAAACCCAGUUUAUUACAAAAAGAAACCAAACAGCCGGCCGGUUAAUCUCGAACAUUUAAAGCACUAUAG